UGCAGUCGUACGCUUCUUUUUCCACCGGAGCUUGCUCCACCGGAAAAAGAAGAGUGGCGAACGGGUGAGUAACACGUGGGUAACCUGCCCAUCAGAAGGGGAUAACACUUGGAAACAGGUGCUAAUACCGUAUAACAAUCGAAACCGCAUGGUUUUGAUUUGAAAGGCGCUUUCGGGUGUCGCUGAUGGAUGGACCCGCGGUGCAUUAGCUAGUUGGUGAGGUAACGGCUCACCAAGGCCACGAUGCAUAGCCGACCUGAGAGGGUGAUCGGCCACAUUGGGACUGAGACACGGCCCAAACUCCUACGGGAGGCAGCAGUAGGGAAUCUUCGGCAAUGGACGAAAGUCUGACCGAGCAACGCCGCGUGAGUGAAGAAGGUUUUCGGAUCGUAAAACUCUGUUGUUAGAGAAGAACAAGGAUGAGAGUAACUGUUCAUCCCUUGACGGUAUCUAACCAGAAAGCCACGGCUAACUACGUGCCAGCAGCCGCGGUAAUACGUAGGUGGCAAGCGUUGUCCGGAUUUAUUGGGCGUAAAGCGAGCGCAGGCGGUUUCUUAAGUCUGAUGUGAAAGCCCCCGGCUCAACCGGGGAGGGUCAUUGGAAACUGGGAGACUUGAGUGCAGAAGAGGAGAGUGGAAUUCCAUGUGUAGCGGUGAAAUGCGUAGAUAUAUGGAGGAACACCAGUGGCGAANGCGGCUCUCUGGUCUGUAACUGACGCUGAGGCUCGAAAGCGUGGGGAGCAAACAGGAUUAGAUACCCUGGUAGUCCACGCCGUAAACGAUGAGUGCUAAGUGUUGGAGGGUUUCCGCCCUUCAGUGCUGCAGCUAACGCAUUAAGCACUCCGCCUGGGGAGUACGACCGCAAGGUUGAAACUCAAAGGAAUUGACGGGGGCCCGCACAAGCGGUGGAGCAUGUGGUUUAAUUCGAAGCAACGCGANAACCUUACCANGUCUNGACAUCCUUUGACCACNNCUAGAGAUAGAGCUUCCCCNUCGGGGGCAAAGUGACNGNNGGNGCAUGGNNNUCGUCAGCUCNNGUCGUGAGAUGUUNGGGUUANUCCCNCA
rnacentral:rRNA from 1 species